rnacentral:rRNA from 1 species
AGAGUUUGAUCAUGGCUCAGAACGUACGCUGGCGGCACGCCUAACACAUGCAAGUCGAACGAAGUAGCAAUACUUAGUGGCAGACGGGUGAGUAACAUGUGGGUAUCUGCCCUUUGGCCUGGAAUAACACGAGGAAACUUGUGCUAAUACCGGAUAAGUCUUUACGGAGAAAGCUUUAUGCACCAUUGGAUGAGCCCGCACUUGAUUAGUUUGUUGGUGGGGUAAUGGCCUACCAAGACUGUGAUCAAUAGCUGAUUUGAGAGGAUGAUCAGCCACAUUGGGACUGAGACACGGCCCAAACUCCUACGGGAGGCAGCAGUGGGGAAUCUUGCACAAUGGAGGAAACUCUGAUGCAGCGAUGCCGCGUGAGUGAAGAAGGCCUUUGGGUUGUAAAGCUCUUUCGUCGGGGAAGAAAAUGACUGUACCCGAAUAAGAAGGUCCGGCUAACUUCGUGCCAGCAGCCGCGGUAAUACGAAGGGACCUAGCGUAGUUCGGAAUUACUGGGCUUAAAGAGUUCGUAGGUGGUUGAAAAAGUUGGUGGUGAAAUCCCAGAGCUUAACUCUGGAACUGCCAUCAAAACUUUUCAGCUAGAGUUUGAUAGAGGAAAGCAGAAUUUCUAGUGUAGAGGUGAAAUUCGUAGAUAUUAGAAAGAAUACCAAUUGCGAAGGCAGCUUUCUGGAUCAUUACUGACACUGAGGAACGAAAGCAUGGGUAGCGAAGAGGAUUAGAUACCCUCGUAGUCCAUGCCGUAAACGAUGUGUGUUAGACGUUGGAAAUUUAUUUUCAGUGUCGCAGCGAAAGCGAUAAACACACCGCCUGGGGAGUACGACCGCAAGGUUAAAACUCAAAUGAAUUGACGGGGACCCGCACAAGUAGUGGAGCAUGUGGUUUAAUUCGAAGAUACGCGCAGAACCUUACCAACACUUGACAUGUUCGUCGCGACUUUAAGAGAUUAAAGUUUUCGGUUCGGCCGGACGAAACACAGGUGCUGCAUGGCUGUCGUCGGCUCGUGUCGUGAGAUGUUGGGUUAAGUCCCGCAACGAGCGCAACCCUCACUUUUAGUUGCCAUCAUUUAGUUGGGCACUCUGAAAGAACUGCCAGUGAUAAGCUGGAGGAAGGUGGGGAUGACGUCAAGUCCUCAUGGCCCUUACGUGUUGGGCUACACACGUGCUACAAUGGUAUUUACAACAGGAAGCAAAACAGCGAUGUUAAGCAAAUCCUUAAAAAAUACCUCAGUUCGGAUUGCACUCUGCAACUCGAGUGCAUGAAGCUGGAAUUACUAGUAAUCGUGGAUCAGCGUGCCACGGUGAAUGCGUUCCCGGGUCUUGUACACACCGCCCGUCACACCAUGGGAGUUGGUUCUACCUUAAGGCAAGGUUUUAUACCCUUGACCACGGUAUAGUCAGCGACUGGGGUGAAGUCGUAACAAGGUAA